GUUACAUUAGCUCAGUACGGCUAGAGCAUCCGGUUCAUAACCGGACAUACAUUGGUUCAAAUCCAUUAUGUAACA
rnacentral:tRNA from 1 species